rnacentral:rRNA from 1 species
AGAGUUUGAUCCUGGCUCAGGAUGAACGCUAGCGAUAGGCCUAACACAUGCAAGUCGAGGGGCAGCACAUGAGGUAGCAAUACCGAUGGUGGCGAC